GACAGAGGUGGCGAGCGUUGUUCGGAAUCACUGGGCUUAAAGGGCGAGUAGGCGGUGGAGCAAGUCUGUGGUGGAAUCCUAUGGCUUAACCAUAGAACUGCCAUAGAAACUGUUUCACUUGAGUCAGUGAGGGGAGGGCGGAACUCCUGGUGUAGCGGUGAAAUGCGUAGAUAUCAGGAGGAAGGCCUGUGGCGAAGGCGGCCCUCUGGCACUGUACUGACGCUGAGGCGCGAAAGCGUGGGGAGCAAAC
rnacentral:rRNA from 1 species